GCGACACACAAUACUCGCCGGAAGCGGAAGCCACGCCGAGCUCGUGUCAGUGGAAGCUAAGGUGUCGGCGUGCGGCUGCGGCCGGGUCUAGCGAUGCCUGCGGGUGAAGGAGAAGGCAAGAGGCCGGAGUGAGAACCAGAACGCGGAGGCAAGGGCGAGAAGGGACUCGGAAGGGCAGGUGGCUGAGAUGCCGGCGUCCAGGUGACCCGAGGAAGCCUCUGGAGAAAGAGGGCCGCGCAUGCGCGUGGUGGGGCGCUGAAGCCCACUGCCCGCAGGGCGCCAGACGCGCGCUAGGCCGGUGAGGCUGUGCGGUUCAGGCUGCCGGCCCGGCUCUGGCCCGGAUCCGCCGAUCCCCGCUGGGGCUGGGAGUCGCCGAGGGCGGGACGAGGGCGGGUUGUGGACUUAACAGCCACGCUUUUCCUCUCUGCGGACUAGUCCGGGGAGAGGUGGCUAGUUGAGGCGGCGGCCAAUUACGUGGCGGACCUGCUGGUCUCAGUUGGCACGUCACUUCCGACUAGUUAAGUUUUAGCCUUUUAACACUCAGGGAUCAGGCAAGUUCUCCUGUUGGUGGGCUUCAGGUGCUUCCUGUCCUGCCCUGCCCGGCGAACUGUAUCGAAACUAUCUACCUCCCCUCCCCCUUUGGAGUGGGAACCGGGAGAGAGCUGGUCCUGCGACUCUGCUGCUCACCUUUGUAUCCUAAGCUCCUUGUGCGGGGUCUGACCGCAGCAAGCUCCCAGUAAACACUCGUGGACUGGGUGAGAGUCACGGCCCUUUCUUUCUGCUUUUGGAGCUGUGUCUUGAGUUUUCUCCCCAAGGGCAGACGGAACUCCAGACUUUUGCAUUAUAGUCUCCUAGCUUUGCUUUCCUGCUGCUGGAAGCUUCUCGGGUCUGUGACUUUUGGAGGAAGCGGCUGAGAGUCUUGCACCAUCACCCUGGGUAGAUGCGAUGGCAUCAUCAUAGCUCACUGCAACCUCCAACUCCUGGGCUCAAGUGAUCCUCCUGCCUCAGACUCUGGAGUAGCUGGAACUACAGUUUUUGGCGAAAGUCUGUUUAAUCUGAUGUAAGUAUUGCUAUUCCUACUCUUUUUUGCUUUCCAUUUGCAAGGCAUAUCUUUUUCUGUCUCUUCACUUUCAGUCUAUGCAUGUCCUUACAGGUCAUAUGGGUCUCUUUUAGGCAACAUAUAGUUUGGUCUUGUUUUUUAAUCCAUUCAGGCACCCUGCAUCUUUUAAUUGAAGAAUUUAAUCCAUUUACAUUCAAGGUAAUUAUUUUUAGCAGGUUCCUGCACAGCCAGUGAAUUAUUGGCUGGAGAUUGAGACUAGGCCCUAUGAGGAUCUGCUGUGAGACCGAAACUGAAGAGCCUGUCUCAUCUCAGAUAAGUGUGUGUCUCCCAGCAGGUCUCUGCACAGACUGGAUAGUGACUAAGUUUUGGUGUAUUCACUUUCGCAGGACAACACCUGGAAUUUUUCUGUCUUACCACUUACAAUUAAAUUGUUCCUUAGAUCCAAGAAUUCUUGAUUCUCCACUGCUGCUGUUCUCUUCUACCUGGAGUUUGCAGUGGGCUCCCUGCCCAUUUUUUCCCUUUCUAUUUCAAGUAAAGACUUUAUUUUCUUCCUCAACCAUUCAGUAGCUCCCCAGUGCCUUUAAGAUUGUAUCUAAACUUCUUAACAUAGCAGAUUUAGCACAAUAGAAAUGAUUAGACCCCUCCAAAUUACUCAUUUUAUUUUUUGUUUUAUUU